rnacentral:rRNA from 1 species
UAACGCGUGGGAAUCUGCCCUGGAGUGGGGGAUAACCGAGGGAAACCUCGGCUAAUACCGCAUAAGGCCUGAGGGAGAAAGAUUUAUCGCUCUAGGAGGGGCCCGCGUCGGAUUAGCUAGUUGGUGGGGUAACGGCCUACCAAGGCGAUGAUCCGUAGCUGGUCUGAGAGGAUGAUCAGCCACACUGGGACUGAGACACGGCCCAGACUCCUACGGGAGGCAGCAGUGGGGAAUAUUGGACAAUGGGCGCAAGCCUGAUCCAGCCAUGCCGCGUGAGUGAUGAAGGCCUUAGGGUUGU